rnacentral:rRNA from 1 species
GGCAAGCGUUAUCCGGAAUUAUUGGGCGUAAAGCGCGCGUAGGCGGUUUUUUAAGUCUGAUGUGAAAGCCCACGGCUCAACCGUGGAGGGUCAUUGGAAACUGGAAAACUUGAGUGCAGAAGAGGAAAGUGGAAUUCCAUGUGUAGCGGUGAAAUGCGCAAAGAUAUGGAGGAACACCAGUGGCGAAGGCGACUUUCUGGUCUGUAACUGACGCUGAUGUGCGAAAGCGUGGGGAUCAAACAGGAUUAGAUACCCUGGUAGUCCACGCCGUAAACGAUGAGUGCUAAGUGUUAGGGGGUUUCCGCCCCUUAGUGCUGCAGCUAACGCAUUAAGCACUCCGCCUGGGGAGUACGACCGCAAGGUGAAAUUCAAAGGAAUUGACGGGGACCCGCACAAGCGGUGGAGCAUGUGGUUUUAAUUCGAAGCAACGCGAAGAACCUUACCAAAUCUUGACAUCCUCUGACUCCUCUAGAGAUAGAGUUUUCCCCUUCGGGGGACAGAGUGACAGGUGGUGCAUGGUUGUCGUCAGCUCGUGUCGUGAGAUGUUGGGUUAAGUCCCGCAACGAGCGCAACCCUUAAGCUUAGUUGCCAUCAUUAAGUUGGGCACUCUAAGUUGACUGCCGGUGACAAACCGGAGGAAGGUGGGGAUGACGUCAAAUCAUCAUGCCCCUUAUGAUUUGGGCUACACACGUGCUACAAUGGACAAUACAAAGGGUAGCGAAACCGCGAGGUCAAGCAAAUCCCAUAAAGUUGUUCUCAGUUCGGAUUGUAGUCUGCAACUCGACUAUAUGAAGAUGGAAUCGCUAGUAAUCGUAGAUCAGCAUGCUACGGUGAAU